rnacentral:rRNA from 1 species
UACGUAGGGUGCAGGCGUUAAUCGGAAUUACUGGGCGUAAAGCGUGCGCAGGCGGUCUUUUAAGUCAGAUGUGAAAUCCCCGGGCUUAACCUGGGAACUGCGUUUGAAACUGGAAGGCUUGAGUGUGGCAGAGGGGGGUGGAAUUCCACGUGUAGCAGUGAAAUGCGUAGAGAUCAUGAGGAAGACCAGUGGCGAAGGCGGGUCUCUGGACAGUUCCUGACACUGAGGCACGAAGGCCAGGGGAGCAAACGGG